rnacentral:rRNA from 1 species
CUUGUCUCAAGACUAAGCCAUGCAUGUCUAAGUAUAAACGCUUCUAUACUGUGAAACUGCGAAUGGCUCAUUAAAUCAGUUAUAGUUUAUUUGAUGGUUCCUACUACAUGGAUAACCGUGGUAAUUCUAGAGCUAAUACAUGCAGAAAGUCCCGACUUCUGGAAGGGAUGUAUUUAUUAGAUCCAAAACCGGCGCGGGUCUUCGGGCCCGGUUGCUUGGUGAUUCAUGAUAACUGCUCGAACCGUAUGGCCUUUGUGCCGACGGUGCUUCAUUCAAAUUUCUGCCCUAUCAACUUUCGAUGGUACGGUAGUGGCCUACCAUGGUUGCAACGGGUGACGGAGAAUUAGGGUUCGAUUCCGGAGAGGGAGCCUGAGAAACGGCUACCACAUCCAAGGAAGGCAGCAGGCGCGCAAAUUACCCAAUCCCGACUCGGGGAGGUAGUGACAAUAAAUAACAAUGCCGGGCUUUCUUAGUCUGGCAAUUGGAAUGAGUACAAUCUAAACCCCUUAACGAGGAACAAUUGGAGGGCAAGUCUGGUGCCAGCAGCCGCGGUAAUUCCAGCUCCAAUAGCGUAUAUUAAAGUUGUUGCAGUUAAAAAGCUCGUAGUUGGAUUUCGGGGCAGCCUGGCUGGUCCGCCGCAAGGCGAGUACUGGUCAGCCGCCCUUCCUCUCGAAAGCCCCGACUGCUCUUUAUUGUAGUGGUCGGGUAGUUCGGGACGUUUACUUUGAAAAAAUUAGAGUGUUCAAGGCAGGCCUACGCCUGAAUACAUUAGCAUGGAAUAAUGGAAGAGGACCUCGGUCCUAUUUUGUUGGUUUCCAGGGCCGAAGUAAUGAUUAAGAGGGACAGUUGGGGGCAUUCGUAUUUAAUUGUCAGAGGUGAAAUUCUCGGAUUUAUGAAAGACGAACAACUGCGAAAGCAUUUGCCAAGGAUGUUUUCAUUAAUCAAGAACGAAAGUUAGGGGUUCGA